rnacentral:rRNA from 1 species
UACGUAGGGGGCAAGCGUUGUCCGGAAUCAUUGGGCGUAAAGCGCGUGUAGGCGGCCAGGUAGGUCCGGUGUGAAAACUCGAGGCUCAACCUCGAGAGGUCAUCGGAAACCAUCUGGCUAGAGUCCGGAAGAGGAGAGUGGAAUUCCCGGUGUAGCGGUGAAAUGCGCAGAUAUCAGGAGGAACACCGAUGGCGAAGGCAGGUCUCUGGGCCGAUACUGACGCUGAGGAGCGAAAGCGUGGGGAGCGAACAGG